rnacentral:rRNA from 1 species
GACGAACGCUGGCGGCGUGCUUAACACAUGCAAGUCGAACGGAAAGGCCCUGCGUUUGUGGGGUGCUCGAUUGGCGAACGGGUGAGUAACACGUGAGUAACCUGCCCUUGACUUUGGGAUAACUUCAGGAAACUGGGGCUAAUACCGGAUAGGAGCUCCUGCUGCAUGGUGGGGGUUGGAAAGUUUCGGCGGUUGGGGAUGGACUCGCGGCUUAUCAGCUUGUUGGUGGGGUAGUGGCUUACCAAGGCUUUGACGGGUAGCCGGCCUGAGAGGGUUACCGGCCACAUUGGGACUGCGAUACGGCCCAGACUCCUACGGGAGGCAGCAGUGGGGAAUAUUGCACAAUGGGCGGAAGCCUGAUGCAGCAACGCCGCGUGCGGGAUGCCGGCUUUCGGGUUGUAAACCGCUUUCGCAUGUGACGAAGCGUGAGUGACGGUAAUGGGUAAAGAAGCACCGGCUAACUACGUG